GUGAUGCUGUCUGGCCCUGGACUAUUCGCAAAAAGAAUAUUUUUAUGGACUCCUCUGGGAAAAGAAUGGAAAGCCAGAGAAUCUUCCCUUGUCCAGGGACUUCUGAGGGGUAUAAGUGAGAUAGAGUUGGGGUAUGUGUGUGGCAUUUCAAGUGGCCUGACAUUUUCCUAAAAGGACAGUUCCUUUGGUUCUCACCUCUCACACCACACUCUUUUCUGAGCAGUAGUUCUGAGGGAUUGUCUGUCUAUGAGCAUCGUUCUCAGGCUACUGGAUCCCACCUUCCCAAAGACCCAGACUCAGGUCUUUUAGAGGAGAAGCCUUGGUGUUGGGAAGAAAGCAAGGAGGGGGGGAAGGGGAAGAGGGACUGUUUCAACCAGACAGAAGUUCUUUGUUUGCUCUGCUUCUUUGUAAAUGAGGCAAUAUUUGGAAACAACAAAUAUUGGUUCAGAGAGCCAAUGCAUUCCUGCCCAUCCCUUUAGGUCAGCAAUCCUACCCCCCCUCCCCCCCGGCACGUACACACAAGUUCAGCUCUUUCUAUAAGAGAGCAAAUCCCACUGAAAUUUAAAAGUUUUAUUAGUUUAUGGUGGAAGAUUUGUGUCAUGACUUGGUUUGGUCUAUAACUGGAAGCUCUCUUCAUCCCCACCCCCCCUUAUCUCCUUCCUUCCCUUCUUCCCUUCAUUGCUCCCUUCCUUUUCUGGAUAAAGAGAAGAUGAAUAUCCAGAGGGUAGCUGUGAUCUAGAGAAGGCUGGGAUUUCAGAGAUUUGAGUUCAGGUCCCAGAGCUCUGUGAAGGAGACCUGUCCUUUUAGUGUGGUGUUCAUAUUUGAAAAAUGGAGAACUGAUCUCAUCUCUCAAGGUAGUUGGUCAAGAUCACAGAGAUCUUGCCCCAGAACAGUGCCUGGCACCUGGAAGAACUGGAAAUGUGAUACUUUCCCUCCAUGUGAGCAUAAUAAACUGGUACAUGCCUGAGGUUCUGCAGAGUGGUACUUAGCCAACUCCCAAAGGGACAAGCCCCUCUGUAAACUGAAAUGUGGAGUUGUGUGUCUGUGAAGGAAUGGCAGGGCUCAGAGUGCCCUAUCUGUCCCUCUCAGUGUGAGCCCAGAUGAGCCUUAUUUCCUGGGAGGGACCGUGUCCCUGGCGGAUGAGUACAUGCGCUCUGGAACCAGACUGCUUGAUUUUGCAUCUGACUCACCAGUUGAUUUUGGACAAGUUAUUAACCCCUCAGGGCCUCAGUUUCCUUCUCUUAUCUUUAAAAUGGGGAUUCUAGCACACUGGCCAGAAGGUGCUCCCUCUGAGGUGCUCAAGGCUUGGCUGUGGGCCUGUCCCUGGAAGAGUUGCCUCAGGAAAGGCUCACUAACCCCUCUGGUAUGAGAGUAAGAGCAGUAGGGGCCUGGGGGCAAGAAUCAUGGUCCAUUUGCCUUCCAUACCCUCCACAGAGCUUCCC
rnacentral:lncRNA from 1 species